GACUACAUGAAGCUGGAAUCGCUAGUAAUCGCGAAUCAGAAUGUCGCGGUGAAUACGUUCCCGGGUCUUGUACACACCGCCCGUCACACCAUGGGAGUCGGAAAUGCCCGAAGUCAGUGACCCAACCACAACGUGAACUUCGUUCGCGUGGAGGGAGCUGCCGAAGGUGGAGCCGGUAACUGGGGUGAAGUCGUAACAAGGUACC
rnacentral:rRNA from 1 species